AACGAACGCUGGCGGCAUGCCUAACACAUGCAAGUCGAACGAUCCCUUCGGGGAUAGUGGCGCACGGGUGCGUAACGCGUGGGAACCUGCCCUUAGGUUCGGAAUAACUGAGAGAAAUUUCAGCUAAUACCGGAUAAUGUCUUCGGACCAAAGAUUUAUCGCCUUUGGAUGGGCCCGCGUUGGAUUAGCUAGUUGGUGGGGUAAAGGCCUACCAAGGCGACGACCCAUAGCUGGUCUGAGAGGAUGAUCAGCCACACUGGGACUGAGACACGGCCCAGACUCCUACGGGAGGCAGCAGUGGGGAAUAUUGGACAAUGGGGGAAACCCUGAUCCAGCAAUGCCGCGUGAGUGAUGAAGGCCUUAGGGUUGUAAAGCUCUUUUACCAGGGAUGAUAAUGACAGUACCUGGAGAAUAAGCUCCGGCUAACUCCGUGCCAGCAGCCG
rnacentral:rRNA from 1 species